rnacentral:lncRNA from 1 species
GUGAUUAGUGAUUUCCAGUUUCAUUGGAAACUGAAUAUGUUUUUUGCUUUGUUUUGUUUUGUUUUUGAGAUGUAGUCUCACUCUGUCGCCAGGCUGGAGUGCAGUGGUGCAAUCUCGGCUCAUGGCAACCUCCACCUCCCAGGUUCAAGUGAUUCUCCUGCCUCAGCCUCCCGAGUAGCUGGGACUACUCGGGCACCCGCCACCAUGCCCGGCUAAUUGUUUGUAUUUUUAGUAGAGACAGGGUUUCACUGUGUUAUCCAGGAUGGUCUCGAUCUCUUGAGCUCAUGAUCCACCCGCCUCGGCCUCCCAAAGUGCUGGGAUUACAGGCGUGAGCCACCGCACCCAGCCGGAAACUGAAUAGGUAUUACAAGGAAGGAACAGUCUCUGUUUUCCUGAACUUCCUCCCGUUCAAGUUAAACUAGAGAAGAUCAUGCCAGGAGAAAAAUAAGAAAAACAUGCUCUCUCUUCUCUAAUGAUCGGACAGACUCCUAUUCCAAAACAGAAGAUCUCAACUCUGGAAGAGAACAGAUGCCUUCCACUGUGUGAGUGUAAAUUCAGAGCCUUCCAACUUCACAUUCUCAUCGACAAAUUAUUUAAACAUGACGGCUCUUUUAUAAAGAGUGUUAUCUUAAAAGGAAAGGAAUCAAAGGGCUGAACAUGUUAAAGGGAGGAGAAACAAGACCCCCAGGACUUGUCAAUGGCACACAUAAAAGACAGAAGACACCAGAAGCCAGUCUUCAGCCCGCUGGCCCAGCCGUGGCCACUGUAACGUAUGGCUAAACCCCUGCCCCGAUCAGCUCUCAAGGCUCUGAGCCAACUGCCUAGACCCUCUAUUUGAGAUCCCUGAGAGUUUCAACACAGGGCAUGGCUGACCUCCCCACCGUGUCAUUUCCAGUAAUGCGGCCUCACUGAUAGCGGAAGUUCGGAGAGCUCUUGUCAGAGAGGCCAGCUGGCUCCAUGUGAGUCUUACCCAGAGGGAAACCUGACAAUCUUCCAGCAUGCUCACCAGAUUGGGGCACUGACUUUUGUCACUUGAUUCUCAACUCACAGUCUCAAGAUGCUGGUGCUAAUGUACAUUGCAGCUGACACUGGAGUUUAUUUUUAUAACUGCUCUUGCCUCAGAAAAAGCUCCAUCCCAGUACGACUUCCAGGACAGGGAUGGUCUGGAUGCUGCAGUUAGGACAAUGAUCAUCUCGUUCUCUUAGUGGUUAGGAAUCCUGUGG